UACGUAGGGGGCAAGCGUUGUCCGGAUUUAUUGGGCGUAAAGAGCGUGUAGGCGGCCAGGUAGGUCCGUUGUGAAAACUCGAGGCUCAACCUCGAGACGCCGAUGGAAACCAUCUGGCUAGAGUCCGGAAGAGGAGAGUGGAAUUCCCGGUGUAGCGGUGAAAUGCGCAGAUAUCGGGAAGAACACCGGUGGCGAAGGCGACCCGCUGGCCAGCGACUGACACUGAGACGCGAAAGCGUGGGGAGCAAACAGG
rnacentral:rRNA from 1 species